ensembl:lncRNA
AUGUCCUUAUUACCUUUCUGGGCCUUGGACAUGGCAUUGCCUUGCUGUCUAUGCAGAAUCAGAACGCAUUUCAUCAAAACUAUCUUAAUUUGUGUUCUGAAGAUGAACAAAGAUCUUAACGGUUUGGAACGAUGUGAGGCCUUUGUUCACAAUAUAAUAACAUCAGAAGAAAAAAGGCAGCCAUCAUGUGAUGAACCUGCAGAUCUCAUUUGUACGACGUCCAUCAGCUGUCAGAAAAGCUUGAAUGCUCUGAUGGUCUAGUGAAUUCAACUCACAAUCAGGAAAUAAAGGUAAUGAAAAAGGAUGAAAGAUUUCUGUGCAAGAUGGUGGAAUAGGAGGAGGUGAUGUCAUUCCUACUGUGAUCUAACAAUCAUUCUCAUCAUUUUCUUUUGUUGUUUCUCAUUCUCUCUGUUACAUACAAACAUUAUAAAACAUAACAGUGUUAAUAGAAUUACACAAAUAACAACACUGUGAAAAUUAACUUAAAGGGGUCAUCAGAUGAACAUUUUUCACAAGUUUAUAUAAAAAGUCUGUAACAUAGAUUAGUUAAAAUAUCUGUGAAACAAACACCCCUUUUACCUUGCCAAAAACAGCUCUUUUCAGAGCAAGAUGUUUUGUUGCAUGCCGACCCUGACCCUCUGCUGACCCCACCCCUUUCUUCGGAGCCGUUCUCUGAGAGAUUGUUUACUUUAGCCACAUUUAGCUGUGGAACUUGCUAACUAACAUGUUAUUAGGAAAGACGAUUUGCAAAGAUUCAUAAAAUAAAACCUUAUACUCACUUGUUCUGCAGGUGAAUCUGGAUCACAAAUGUUUUGCACAAAGAUAGUAGGGCUGCAUGAUUAAUCGAAUGCGAUUAUCAUGCACAUUUUGUCAGUAAAUCUCCAUCACAUGCUUUCAGAUGGAGCAGCAUUUACUGCUCAGAGCGUAGUUCACUGACAAGCUACGCAAAAAAAAAAAAAAAAACCCGCAGACAAUAUAAUCGCAAGAUUAUGUUAUUGAAGAUAUAAGAAAUUUUGCGAUAAUGAUAGCUGUUUGUGUAAAUGCUGCUCCAUCUGAAAGCAUGUCAAAAUACCACAUUUAAUAAAAUGUUUUUGCUCUAAACUCACAUCAUAACGUCAGUCGAGUGUUUUCAUUAUUACAUCCAACAACAAAGCACUUCAGUCACUUAGAAGUCACUCUUGUCUACAUCUGCUCCGGCAGUGAAACAAUGGCAGACUGAUGACAGCUCACUCAGGGCAGGUCUUUGAUAAAACCAAAGACUGAUGACACUGUCAAUCAACAAUCGUGGGUUAGGGUUGGGGUUAGAGUUAGGGUUAGAGUGGCCUUGACCAAUGUGAUGUCACACUGGCAGGAAUCUGAGAACGGCUUGAUUUGAGAAAGGGGUAAUGAUUUUAGGAGAUUAUAAAAAAAAAAACACUUUGUGGAUUUUUAUCAUUAUAGGGUGGUAUGUACACACACUGCCAACACACAUUUAUGUUCAAACAACAUGUAAAAGUGCAUUUCACAUCCGAUGACCCCUUUAAGAAGACAUGACUUCUCCAAGGCAACAACUAUUACAAGUAUUGCAUCUUUUUGAAUGGAAACAAGUAUCCUUGAAAUACACAGUGAAUAUAUUCUGGAUUUCUGCAGGAAACAGUUUAAGGAAAUGUUAUAUAUACUAGGGAUGUAACGAUUAACCGUGAGCCAGUUGAAAAAUCAAUUCAAAUAUGUGACGAUUCAAAUCAGUUGAGAUGCUAAACAAAUCACGAUUCAUUUAGGGCUAGGAAUUUAUAUGAAUGCAUGUCUGAGGGGAACUUACUGUCUUUAGAAAAGUUUAGAUGGUAUUUUUUCUUUUCAUCUUGCCUCUGUAUAAUGCAUAUUAAAGUUCAUAAGUGCAGUGCUACUUUGUUUGCUGGCAGAGAGUGAAUCUGCGUCUCGUUCAACUCCACUGUUUCAUGCAGAUAUUUUUAUGUAUAGUUUCACAAAACUGAAGUCAAACCAUUCUGUUCCUGCCUCAAAAUUUUAAAUUAUGCAAUCUAAUUUAAAUUAAAAACUGCUCAUGUUGCAUGUAUGCAGCAUCUUUGUUUGGAUCAUGAUUAAAAUGCAGUGGUUGCCUCUAAUUUAAAUGGAAAGAGCACAGACAAAGCCUUAUUUUGUUUAUAUGAAGAGAUUUAUUUUAUUUGUGUUAUUAUUUAUUUGAUUUGGGGCUUGUUUUAAAAUUUCAAGUUAGUUUUGUUGUUUACAUUUACAUUCUAUUAAAAUUUUGUCAUUUAGCAGAGCUUUUAUCCAAAGUGACUUAUCAAAACCAACAAAAGAGCAAUAAUAUGCUAUAUGCUAAGUACUAUAUUAGUAUAUUAUUAUAGUUAUAUUUCAAUUUCACAACGUAAUGUACAGCAUCUUGUCCAAGCAAUAAUAAAAACACACAUUUAUUUCAUUAAUAAAUUUCAUUAAAACAAACAAACAAAAAAAAGUGAAUCGAAUCGAGUUGAGUGAAUCGUUACC